AGAGUUUGAUCCUGGCUCAGGAUGAACGCUGGCGGCGUGCCUAACACAUGCAAGUCGAGCGAGACGGUUAUGAAAGAUCCUUCGGGUGAUUGAUUAACUAGAAAGCGGCGGACGGGUGAGUAACGCGUGGGUAACCUGCCCCAUACACAGGGAUAGCCAUUGGAAACGAUGAUUAAUACCUGAUAAUACUGAGAUAACACAUGUUGACUUAGUCAAAGAUUUAUCGGUAUGGGAUGGACCCGCGUCUGAUUAGCUAGUUGGUAAGGUAACGGCUUACCAAGGCGACGAUCAGUAGCCGACCUGAGAGGGUGAUCGGCCACACUGGAACUGAGACACGGUCCAGACUCCUACGGGAGGCAGCAGUGGGGAAUAUUGCACAAUGGGCGCAAGCCUGAUGCAGCAACGCCGCGUGAACGAAGAAGGCCUUCGGGUCGUAAAGUUCUUUUCUUAGGGAAGAAAAAUGACGGUACCUAAGGAAUAAGCACCGGCUAAAUACGUGCCAGCAGCCGCGGUAAU
rnacentral:rRNA from 1 species